rnacentral:rRNA from 1 species
GGUGGUUCCGCAKGGAAGGGCCAUCGCUCAACGGAUAAAAGCUACCCCGGGGAUAACAGGCUUAUCUCCCCCAAGAGUCCACAUCGACGGGGAGGUUUGGCACCUCGAUGUCGGCUCAUCGCAUCCUGGGGCUGUAGUCGGUCCCAAGGGUUGGGCUGUUCGCCCAUUAAAGCGGUACGCGAGCUGGGUUCAGAACGUCGUGAGACAGUUCGGUCCCUAUCCGUCGUGGGCGUAGGAAAUUUGAGAGGAGCUGUCCUUAGUACGAGAGGACCGGGAUGGACGCACCGCUGGUGUACCAGUUGUUCUGCCAAGGGCAUAGCUGGGUAGCUAUGUGCGGAAGGGAUAAGUGCUGAAAGCAUCUAAGCAUGAAGCCCCCCUCAAGAUGAGAUUUCCCAUAGCGUAAGCUAGUAAGAUCCCUGAAAGAUGAUCAGGUUGAUAGGUUCGAGGUGGAAGCAUGGUGACAUGUGGAGCUGACGAAUACUAAUAGAUCGAGGACUUAACCAUAUAA